ACAACAUGGUGGGGGCAUUUUCUAAUCAGUUUCUUUAAUUUCUCCCAAGUCUCAUAAAAUAUCUCCCCAUCCAACUAGAAAAAACUAGUUAUAGCCUUUCUGAUUUG